rnacentral:rRNA from 1 species
CAGAGACCUCAAGCGUUAUCCGGAAUCAUUGGGCGUAAAGCGUGCCGAUAGGUGGUUGAAAUAGUCUUGGGUAAAAGCCAGAAGCUCAACUUCUGAGUUUGCUUAAGAUACUUUUCGACUAGAGGGGCAAAGAGGUGAUUGGAACGAAUGGUGUAGUAGUGAAAUGCGUUGAUAUCAUUCAGAACACCGAAAGCGAAGGCAGAUCACUGGGUGCCACCUGACACUGCUAGGACGAAAGCGUGGGGAGCGAAUGGGAUUAGAUACCCCAGUAGUCCACGCUGUAAACGAUGAGUGCUUGGCAUGCGCGAGUAUCGACCCUCCUGCGAGCCGUAGCUAACGCGUUAAGCACUCCGCCUGGGGAGUACGGUCGCAAGACUA